GACGAACCGUGCAAACGUUGUUCGGAAUCACUGGGCUUAAAGGGCGCGUAGGCGGGCAAGCAAGUCGAAGGUGAAAUCCCACGGCUCAACCGUGGAAGUGCCCCCGAUACUGCUUGUCUUGAGGGAGAUAGGGGCGUGCGGAACUUCCGGUGGAGCGGUGAAAUGCGUAGAUAUCGGAAGGAACACCGGUGGCGAAAGCGGCGCGCUGGAUCUCUUCUGACGCUGAGGCGCGAAAGCCAGGGGAGCAAACGGGG
rnacentral:rRNA from 1 species